GGACUCCAGCCUAGGCAACAGAGUGAGACUCAGUCUCAAAAAAAAAAAAAAAAAAAGAAAAUUGGGCAUGAUGGUGGUGCCUAUAGUCCCAGUCACUUCAGAGGCUGAGUGGGAGAAUCGCUAGAACCCAGGAGUUUGAGUCUGCAGUGAGUUAUGAGCAUGCUCCAGCCUGGACAGCAUAGUUAGCCCCUGUCCUUGAAAAUGAAAAUAAGAAGCUAGGGCUGGAGAGGCAAGAGAGGGAGAUCAGAUCUUGGAGAGAGAUAGUGGACCAUUGUAAGGACUUGGGCUUAUAGAUGAGAGCCACUGCAGGGCUUUUUCUGAGCAGAGGAGGGACACCUCUGACUUCUCUCAAAGCAGCACCCUGCGGGGUGGGGAGAUUGCAGAAGCAAGGGCAGAAACAAGAGACCAGUCAGCAGGCUCUUGGAGUAAUUCCAAGAGGGUUGAUUACCCUAGAGGCCGGCCUAGGGUGGUGGCUGAAGAGGUGAUGAGAAGGGGUGGGAUUCUAGAAAUAUUUUAAAGGCUGACAGGAUUUAUCGCCAGGGCAAAUAUGAAGUGGGAGAGAGAAAGAGGAGAGAGGAAUCAAGGAAAGUCUCAAGGUUUUGGCCUGAGCAACAGGAAGAAAGGGUUGUCACUAAUCAAGAUGGAGAAAACUGGCCUUGCUAGUUUGUUGGGUUUGGGUGGGAAGCCCAGUUUUGAACGGGUUAGGUUUCAGACACCCAUUAGAUACAUCUGAGUGGAGGGUUAAGUAGACACUGGUUAGGCAGGUCCAAUGCAGAGGAAAUGUGCAGCUGGGGAUAAAUACUGGGGAACCACCAGCACAGACCUGCUGGUAUUUAAAGCCACAGUUUUCUGAGACUAUCUAGCUCUGUACUGUGCAAUACACUAGCCACAUGUGGCUCUCCAACACAUGAAAUUAGUGCAAAUUCUGGUCGGGCACGGUGGCUCACGCCUGUAAAUCCCAGCACUUUGGGAGGCUGAGGCGGGUGGACCACGAGGUCAGGAGUUCGAGAGCAGCCUGACCAACAUGGUGAAGCAAUGUCUCUCCUAAAAAUACAAAAAUUAGCCAGGCAUGGUGGUGGGUGCCUUUAAUCCCAGCUACUCAGGAGGCUGAGGCAGGAGAAUCGCUUGAACUUGGGAAGCAGAGGUUGCAGUGAGCCGAGAUUGCGCCACUGCACUCUAGCCUGGGCAACAGACCGAAACUCCAUCUCAAAAAAAAAAAAAA
rnacentral:lncRNA from 1 species